GUGCGAUGAUCGGGCCGCGGUCGUCGUGGAACCCGGUGCGAAUCCGGGACGGUCCCGCCACUGUGACUGGUCUGUCGGCCAGGAGUCAGAGCUUCGGUGGCCGCCUUGGUGUGCUGACGAGACGUGGGCGAGGACACCCACC
rnacentral:sRNA from 2 species